CCAGACACUCCGAAGAAAAAUCGGAAUAAAAAGUGUUCGUGAGCGAUUUACCACCAGUUACCAUAAAUAUAGCGACCCCUUGAAAAUGACAAAAACUAACUAUUCGAGCAACACUGUUUAAGUUGCUAUGAGCUAGUUACCAAGGAGCACCCGAAUAAAUAAACAAACAGUUUGAAACAGUUGUGGAAAAAUUCCACAUUUCAUGAUUAUUCAAAAUCAUUUACAAAAAACUGCAAAAAAAAUAAUUCAUUCGAGGGCUGAACUGUAUAUAAAGUUUGUCAAACGCCGAUGCUUGUUCGAUCUCAGAAAAAGAUAUCAUGAUGGAUUGGUUAGUAUCAUUACUAGUGAAGUUCUCUGGAGCGAUUUGUCAAAAAGUCUACAUUCAAUCGGCUGACACCUAUCCGCAUACGCAUGGCUGCCAGACGGCUGACUAAACGCUGCCAGCUGGAAAAAUAUAGCUGGCAGACAUUCUGGUGACCGACUGCCUCACCGCUGGCAGUUAUACAACUCAAACGAUACAACCGUAUCCACCAGGAUUUUUCCACAUUGAAAUCUUUGACAUUUUCAGCGAAGGUGAGAAGAUGAAAACGCUCGGCUAACUUAGAUACAGGCGACAUUGUUUUGUCAAAUAGGAUUUGACAACCGUCACUGAAUCAAUUUUGGUAGCCGUCUGGUGGCCAUGGCUGCCCAGGUAGCCAAAACGCUAUGCGGGUAGCGAAGUCCGGACAAUUCGUUGCGUUUUACAGGCUGGACUUCAAAAUAGACGACAUAAAAAGUUGAAACUUUAAACGAGGAAUGUAAGUAUUUCUGGGAACGUUAUGAAAGUGAUAAAUGCUUAGUUAGAUGAAUAUAUUCCCUCUGAAGAUAACACACGAUAAGUUUUUUAUUGCCUUAAACAACCGAAAUCAAUUUUUUGGUGGUGAAUAAUUUGCGUUGCCGGUACGGUACGCCACUACGAAUUACAUAUUCGUUAUGAGAC